GAUGAACGCUGGCGGCGUGCCUAAUACAUGCAAGUCGAGCGAACGGACGAGAAGCUUGCUUCUCUGAUGUUAGCGGCGGACGGGUGAGUAACACGUGGAUAACCUACCUAUAAGACUGGGAUAACUUCGGGAAAACGGAGCUAAUACCGGAUAAUAUUUUGAACCGCAUGGUUCAAAAGUGAAAGACGGUCUUGCUGUCACUUAUAGAUGGAUCCGCGCUGCAUUAGCUAGUUGGUAAGGUAACGGCUUACCAAGGCAACGAUGCAUAGCCGACCUGAGAGGGUGAUCGGCCACACUGGAACUGAGACACGGUCCAGACUCCUACGGGAGGCAGCAGUAGGGAAUCUUCCGCAAUGGGCGAAAGCCUGACGGAGCAACGCCGCGUGAGUGAUGAAGGUCUUCGGAUCGUAAAACUCUGUUAUUAGGGAAGAACAUAUGUGUAAGUAACUGUGCACAUCUUGACGGUACCUAAUCAGAAAGCCACGGCUAACUACGUG
rnacentral:rRNA from 1 species